CCUCUCGGCGGAGAUGGGCACGGGCCAAGGUGUGGAGCAUGACGGGCGACCCUAUUGCCUCCCCAAGCACUGGAAGCGUCACACGGCCAUCGCCAUGUUCGGUCAAGCCGUGCACUGAGGAAUUUUCAAUGGAGUCCAUGAUAAUUUGAGCUGUAGCUUUCUUGCCCAAAAUUGGAGGAAUGAUCUAAUCCGCCUGCACAUGUUAUGUUCCUGAACAUACAGCUGGUUAAUUAUCUGUUGUCAGUUGGUGCGAAAGCAGGCUUGGCAAAGUAAGGAGUAAACACUGUCUCGAUGAUGAUUCUCACUAAGUUAACAAUCAACUGCAGUAAUGUCCAUUUCAUGUAAAGAUGAGAAAGAGCUGGGGUUGGGAAAUCAUCUCUCUAGUUGGUGACUUCGACAGUGAACUCACUCAUCGCAUUUGUACCCCACAUCCAACGCAUUUUAGUCCUGCAAUCCAAAAGAAUAUCGCAGCUAAUCUCUAGAGCUAGUUGCCUUCCAGGGAAGGUUGGUCUGGGGGAGGCUAACGCCGGACAACGACACCUCAGAAUUGUCCCCUACUGCGACAAUCUCAGAACAAAUACUUUCAUCACAGUUAGCUGAUAAUUUCGCCAAUGACCAUCAAGCUCAGUGUUUCUGAUAUCGUUGCCUUUUUUUAUUAAUGCUGCACAAAUCUCUUUUGUUAAAUCGUUUAGGAGAUGCUUAUUUCUUUACUGAUUACCACUGAUCUGUAUUUAAAAAAGGGAUUUUGGAUGACUGAUCAGGUCAGUGUGGAAAUUUUUUAGUA